rnacentral:lncRNA from 1 species
CCCAUAAAAGAUUUUUUUUUACUCAAAACCGUUACAGAUACCUCACCUCUCCCUGAUACUCAAACUUCUCACUGGAUGCCUCCUCGGAAGCCUUUUCGAAACUACCAACGCAUCAAGCCGGUUUCCACUUCACCCCUAUAUCACACCAUAAACUAGAAGUCGCAGAAAGAAAUGAGUUUUUAUUUUUUAAUACAGGACGUACCGGGGGUUUUGGGAAUGAAUGUUCUUAAUGUUCUUCAGGUUGAAUGGAGGACAGUGACGGAUAUUUUUAAACGCGGUGAAAGUCGAAAACACAGACAGUAGACGGAAGCUCGUCCGGAGAACAGUAGACGGGGGGGGAUGUCGGAAAUAUCGCCGAUCGCUAAAAAAAUCGUUCUUGGGAGGGAAGAGUAGGGAACGAAGAGGGUUUUGUGGUAGAACAGCUACUAGGUAAGCUACUUACUAGCUAGUACAGAGAUACUAGUACCUUCCAUGUCAGUAGGAUAUUUUCCAUUUUUUUAUCCUAUAGGUAACAUGCAACCGGGUAUUGGUUUAUCAGGUUGCUACCAAAAAAAUUGAAGGUUCAUGUUCUCUUAUAAAACGAACGGCGGUAAUGGAAGAGGUUCUCAUAAGAACUCUUCUUACCUAAUUUAUAAAAUAUUAUAUUGUAUUAAUAUAUUAAACAUGAAGAUGGUUACGUGGAAGAAAUAUCUAUAAGAUUAUUAUGCCGAAAUCCAGGGUUAAAACAACAAGUUACAAUAAACAUGAACUAAGGACCUAAGCAUAAUAAAAAUAAAUAAAAGGUUAAUACAAAACCUAUUAAAUUAACUUAUAAAAGGACUGGCUUAUAAAUAUCCAAGUGUUUUUCAAUAGUUGAAAACACAAGGAUAGUUGGUUAAAUAAAACAAGUUAAAUAAGGACUUGGUUAUCAUUUAUGGAUAACUCAUGUGUGCUUGCAGAAAUAUCCCAGAAAGCAGAUUGGGCUCAUGAAAAGGCCACAGCAUGAAGCCGGCCCAGAAAUAGAUUUUAGUUAAUAUUAGUUUUAGUUAAUGUUAACUAACUGUUGAGAGAUUAGUCAGUUAAUUAUUCAUUAAUCAAAUGUAUAAGUAUAACUUGAUAAACAGAUAAUAUUAUUCAAUACAAGGUUAAUCAUCAUUUGUGAUUAACUAAACCACUCUCUCUCAACUCUUCUUCUUAGUGACAGUUUUAGUAGUUAGUUGCCCCUUUUUCAUACAGGCGGAAAACCCUAGCUUCUGAAUGGCAACCCCAUUACAUUUCUCUCAUCCCAGGUAUGAGGAAUCAUCUGCAUUGUCACCAGCGGCACCUACUAUGCAGGAAAAUAAUAUGGUAUCAGCCGUCAAUCGUCCUGGCGCUCCUCCGGUCAACCAGCCAGCCAUUUCCGCAAUGCUNNNNNNNNNNNNNNNNNNNNNNNNNNNNNNNNNNNNNNNNNNNNNNNNNNNNNNNNNNNNNNNNNNNNNNNNNNNNNNNNNNNNNNNNNNNNNNNNNNNNGGCAAAUCUAGCCGCAACUCUUCCUGCUGUACAACCGCCUAAUCCGAUAGUGACUCCAGCAGCAUCUCGCGAAUCCUCUUCUGGGUCGACAGCAAAAUCUCGACCAAGCAAUUAUCAAGAAGGUUUGUACCAAGGUUCCUUUUUUAAAAGGCACAAAUUGGAAAGGUACAUCUCUCCUUUACAAAAUCCAGAAUCACCAUUUUUUUUAACCUCCGGUGAUCACCCGGGGGCAGUAUUAGUUCCAGAUAGAUUAGUUGGUGAAUCCAACUAUAUAACUUGGUCCAAUGGGAUGAAAGUCUCAUUGGUUUCAAGAAGAAAGGAUGCUUUCAUUACUGGACAGAUUACAAUGCCCACAGAUUUUGCUAGUAGGGAAUAUAACAUAUGGAAGAUAGUUAAUGGAUUAGUUCUUGCAUGGUUGUUAAAUUCAGUAUCUCCCCAAAUACAAUCUACUAUCAUGUAUACCAAUGAUGCCCAUCAAGUAUGGUUAGAUCUAGAGAAUAGAUAUAAACAAGGGAAUGCUCCCAAGAUAAAUCAAAUUAAAUACGAACUAUGUUGUCUACAACAAGGAUCAUUGCCUUCAUCUGAAUUUUAUGACAAAUUCAGAUCCAUUUGGGAUCAAUUGGUACAGAUUGAUGAAAUUAAGGAAAAAUUUUGUAUGUCAUGCAAGAAACUCUACCAAGAAAAAGAAGAGAAUGAUAUGAUUCAUCAGUUCUUGUUAGGACUGAAUGAAAACUUUUUUAAUCUUAGAACCCAAAUUCUUUCAUUAGAAAAAUUACCAAACAUGAAUAAGGUUCUAGGAUUAGUUAUUCAAGAGGAAAAACAGAGAUGUAAAUUCAGAGAACACACCGAUGAGAAAAAUACUGAAUCUGCCUUUUAUGUAAAAGAUAAGAAUCCAGUAGAAGGAACAAAGGGUAUGUACUCUAAAAAUGGAAAGAAACUCGAUACUAGAUUCUACUGUGAUAACUGUAAGUAUUAUGGUCAUACAAGGGAAAAGUGUUAUCAUUUAGUAGGCAAACCAGGAAAAUAAAAAUUUCAAAAGAAAAUUCAACCAAAGAAGAACCAGGGCAGUAAUACCACUGUUUCAGAAUGUGCAAAUCUAGCAACUACCUCCAGUAGUCAACAACUAGUGCUAAGUCAAGAAGAGAUCCAAUUAUUCAAGGAACUUAUCUCUUCAACAAAGUCAAACACUGGUAAUAAUUUUUCUUUUUCUUUCAAUACAAAUAAUUAUAUUGAUAAAUGGAUAGUAGAUACCGGAGCAUCACAACACAUGACUGGUAAUUUACAUCUAUUCACCAACCCAUUAGUUAAAGAAUAUAACCAUUUUGUGACUAUACCUAGUGGCAAAAUAUUGAUGGUUCAAGGAAUGGGUUGUAUAAAAAUAUCUGAAAAUCUGAUUUUAAAAAAUGUGUUGUAUAUUCCUGAAUUUAAGGUUAAUCUAAUAGCUAUAAGCAAGUUAACCUUAGACAAUGACAUUAAAGUAAUAUUUAAUGAUCAUUGUUUUCAAUUUCAGGAAAACAAAUCCGAGAAAGUGAUUGGCAAGGGUGAGUCUACGGAUGGACUAUAUUUUUUCACCCCUCAUCAUUUUUUAGCAAAUUCAGCCAUUGACUUCAAAACUUGGCAUCAAAGAUUGGGACACAUUUCUUCUGAAAAAAUGAAGACAUUAGUUUCUCAAUACAAAAUUAGAUACAAAAAAACAGAUUGUAAUAAUGAUAGUUCAGAUUGUAAUAAGAACAAAAAAAUUCCAGAUUGUAGGAAUGAGAUUGUUGAUAAAAAUUCAGUUUUCAAUAAAAUAAAUUCGAUUCAAUAUGAUUGUAGAAUAUGUCCAUUAGCCAAGCAAGCUAAACUCAAAUAUGCAAUUAGUAGUUCCAAAUCUGAAAAUAUUUUUGAUUUAAUCUACAUAGAUAUAUGGGGAAAAUUUCCCAUAAUGACCCAUGAUGGGUUUAAUUAUUUCUUAACUAUUGUGGAAGAUCUAAGUAGAGGUACUUGGAUAUAUCUAAUUAAAAACAAAUCGAUGGCAAUAGAAUGUAUUGAGAAGUUUUACAAAAUGGUUAAAACACAGUUCAAAACCAAAAUCAAAACUAUUAGAAGUGAUAAUGGGGGAGAAUUCACUUCUAACAUUUUUAAAAAAAUGACUGAAAAACAUGGAAUUGUUCAACAAUUCUCAUGCCCCUAUACACCUGCCCAAAAUGCAAGGGUAGAAAGAAAACAUAGGCAUCUCUUGAACAUUGCAAGAGCACUACAUUUUCAAGGAAAUAUUCCAUUGGAAUAUUGGGGGGAGUGCAUCCUAACAGCAGCCCAUUUAAUUAAUAGAAUUCCCUCAAGACCUUAGAAAACAAAACACCUUAUGAAAUAAUUCAUAAAAAAAUACCAAAUUACGAAAAUUUGAAAUCAUUUGGUUGCCUAUGCUAUGCCUCAGUCACACAAAUGGAAAACAAGUUUUCACCAAAAACUUGUCAAGGGAUUUUUAUGGGAUAUCCCAAAGGUAUUAAAGGAUAUCUUAUAUUAAGAGUUUCAGAUAGAAAAUUCAUUGUCUCUAGGGAUGUCUCAUUUAGAGAGUCAAUAUUCCCAUUCAAAGAUGAUCUUAAUCUAGAAGAAACACAAAAAGAAAAUAAAUUUCAAAAUUGCUAUAAUAAUAUUUUUUUAUAUCAUGAUGAUGUAAAUAAGUCAUGGUAUGACUAUAAAAGGCAUCAUCAAAACAAAAAUAAAAAAGAAACCAGUGUUCUGGAAAUAAGAUCAGGGAAUGAUGAUCAUUACAUUCUGGAAAAUAAUUCAGAAAAUAGUUCAAAAAAUGAUCAAACAAACCCAAAACAAUCUGAAAAAUAUAACUCACAAGUUCAUAUGUCUAAACAUAUGAAAAAUAUCAGUGUGAGCAAAAAAAAAACAAUAAAUGUAUUGAGUUAAACCACAAUUCACAGAAUACCAGAAAUUCUGGAAAUACUGCCCAAAACUCAGAAUACAGAUCAAAAAAUGAUCAAAUGAAUCCAGGACAGUAUGAAUUAUAUGAUUCACUAAUUCAUACACCUAGUCAUGAUUCUGUUGAGUUAAAUCAUAACUCACAAAAUAUCAAAAAUUCUGAAUAUAAUAAAAAAAAUUCAGUAAAUGUUCAGAAUGAUCAAACUUCCCUCUAUUCUGAAAAUUUUCAGAAUGAUGACAUAAGAUCAUCAGAUAUAGGACUAAUUCAUACACCUAGUCAUGAUUCUGUUGAGUUAAAUCACAACUCACAAAACAUCAAAAAUUCUGAACAUAAUGGAAAAAAUUCAGCAAAUGUUCAGAAUGAUCAAACUUUCCUCUAUUCUGAAAAUGUUCAGAAUGAUGACAUAAGAUCAUCAGAUACAGGAACAUCAAUAGAAAAACAGAACAAUACACCUGAAAUUACAGUAGACGGGGGGAUGUCGGAAAUAUCGCCGAUCGCUAAAAAAAUCGUUCUUGGGAGGGAAGAGUAGGGAACGAAGAGGGUUUUGUGGUAGAACAGCUACUAGGUAAGCUACUUACUAGCUAGUACAGAGAUACUAGUACCUUCCAUGUCAGUAGGAUAUUUUCCAUUUUUUUAUCCUAUAGGUAACAUGCAACCGGGUAUUGGUUUAUCAGGUUGCUACCAAAAAAAUCGAAGGUUCAGGUUCUCUUAUAAAACGAACGGCG